CGGAGCCAACUGCUAAUUUGUUCGCCCUACCUCUCCGAGCCUCCACCUCUGCCAUCCCUCAUCGGUCGCCGCCCACAACCCUUCCCCAGGCUUCGCCCUCCCUUCCCUAGCUAGCGGGCGGCCGGCGGUGCGGAGAAGGAGCUUGGCGCCUUUUUCUUCCCAUGGAAGGAGGAUGGCAACACGGAGGGUGACGCACCGGCGCGAAUAUGGGAGGAGUGAACUCCGGCAGGUGCUCCUUUCCGGAUGCAUCUACCACCCCGAUGCAUUGUUGUCCCUAUGCUGUGAGUGUUUGUACUCCGAAGUUGCUGCUGACCUGGGAGCAAUAAUCCAAGAAGAGCCAUAAAUGAUAAAAAAAAUACAGAGAUUUACUUCUUCCCUAACUCACUUUCUUGCCAUAACUAAUAAAAUGUGCUUGGUUGUCUGAUCUUUUGGUAGCAUAAUACCUUGUGUUUCAUACCAGAAGGGUAGAUUUCUGCAAGAAAAGAUAUGAACUCAACAUAUUGAGUUAUGUAUGUUGUUUGCUGCCUCUGAAUGCCCCCUUCGCUUCUGAUAUCCUGACCCACCGAAACUGUGAACUCAGACAUUUAUCUGCAGAUAGAUAUGGGGCUUCCAUUGAACCUUUUGAUAGCUCUGAACUCUGAAGUACAUAUUAUGUUGUCUCUUUUUAUGUUUGAUCUUCUCCCUUCUGUUGCAACAUGCUCAUUAACUUAACAAUUAUGUGGACAGUUUGUUCAGGAGCUUCAGAGCAAGUCAUUUACUGACGAAAAGUUGCAAGUGGUGGAAGACAUCUCCUGUUGAGUUCGCACUCCCUCUUAGUACCAAGGCAAUCAAACGGAAUAUAUUUGGUGUACCUCAAAGUAAAAAGGUACAUUUUAGUGAACUUACCAAAUUAUAUUAUUCAACCUUUUUAGUAACUACUCAAAUGAUCAUUUUAUUAAUUAUGCGCAUACAUUUACUUGGGAUACCUUUUUUCAUCACGAUUUUCUGAAGAAGUGUUCAUUUAAUCGCAUAGUGGUUGAAGCAUCUGGGCGCAAUGGGUACAAGGUAGCUAAGCAUCGUAUGCUUGAAAGGAAAUGUAAAUCGAUACCUGGCGAUUGUGAAUGGAAACAGGAAGUUCAUAUAAGCCAAAGUUAGGGGCAUUCAUUGGACCAUUGUUUAGAUGUCUCAUAUCUUUAUUUUUUCCUCAAGGUCCUUGCCACCUGACGGCUGGGUGAAGGUGAAUGUGGACGACUCCUACAUUGAGAAGACUGGGCGAGGAGUCAUUGGCAUGACUGAAUACGGCUCUUAGUGUUGUCUGCCAGUUACAACAUAGAUAACUGGUUUGAUGUUGUAGAAACAGAAGCAACUGCCAUACUGUUGGGCAUCAAAAGUCUGCCCGAGUUUCCAUGAACAGAUCAUUUUGGAAACUGAUUGUGAUGUUGUCGCUAAUGGGCUCAGUCGCACAAAUAACCAAGCCCCUUGGUGUGCUGCAGGUCAUGAAGGAA